rnacentral:lncRNA from 1 species
UCGAGGCUGGAGGGCUGGCUCAGCAGUUAAGAGCACUGUCUGAGGACUGCGGUUCUAUUCCCAGUAUGCACAUAGUGGCUCAGAACCAUCUGUAACUUCAGUCCCAGGGGAUCUAAUGUUUUCUUCUGGCCUCCACGGGCACCAGGAAUGUGUGUGGUAGACAUACAUACAUACAUACAUACAUACAGGCUAAACACCCACACAAAUAAAAAACUAAAAUAAAAUGAAUCCCCAUCUGUCAGGACCACUGCCUCUCUGUCUCUCAGCUGCUCUAGCUGCCUGAUUACGUGGCUCUCUGAAAGGCAGGUAUCCCAAAACUCCAUAUUCAAGGUCAGCCUGGCUAUCACUGGAGGCUUGACUCAGUGGUACACAGAGGAGCCACCAUGGAGGGACUAGGGGCAUAGAUCAGUGAUAGAAGGCUUGUAUAGCAUGCACCAGGCCCUGGGUUCCCCCUUCAGCGUUGGAAAAGAAACAUCUUGGCCGUUCUUGGCUCUUUGUUGUUCCAUACGCAUUUUACUAUCAAAUUCUCAGUUCUAUGAGAAGUUAUGGUGAGCCUUAGGUAGAGUUUGCACUGACUGUAGGCUUGGAAAGCCACAUCUACGUGCAAUAGUCAUCACAGUUAAAUUCCUGAGCAUCUGAAAUAUUGGCUGACUCCAGGGCUCAUAGACAAAAUCGUGCAAGAAAAAGGGCUUUAAAUACUAGCCAGGGCCUCAUGACCCAGUGCCAACAACUGAGGCUCCUCCUCCUAGCUUUUAGAGUUUGCCAUGGGAAGAAAUCGCCUUUAGGCGGUAAACAGUGACCUCCAGAGGCGAAGAUGCAGAGGAGCUGAGCGGCUCAGUCUGUGUCUGGCCACAGAGAAGAGCCGGGCAGGCUAUUUUCUUUUUCUCACGCUCAGUGGUUCUCAACCUUCCCAAUGCUGAGACUCUUCAAUACAUACAGUUCUUCAUGUUGUGGUGACCCCAACCACUGUAUUAUUUCAUUGCCACUUCGUAACUGUGACUUUGCUAUUACUGUGAGUUGUAACCUAAGUGCCUGACUGCAGGAUAUCCGACCACUGUGCAAGGGUUGUUCAACUUCCUAAGGGGGUCAUGACCCACAGGUUGAGAACUGCUGAGUUACAAACCAAGGCCAUUCUAAAAACUGGAUUCUUUGGAGUAGGGCGAUUCAGUUCACAUUUGUUACAGCUUCCAAGGGGUGUCUAGACACCUCCUGUAUCUGCCAUCCCACACAGCCGUCAAGGACGCACGGGACUGCUCUCCCAGAGGAAGAAGACACUAGUGCUUAGUCUUUGAAGACAAAGAGAGAGUAAGCCACACAGCAGGUGAGCACACAGGACUGGGCUGGCCGUGGGCCGGGUGCUGGCUCUCUGCCCACUUCCUUCACAGGGGAAGAGCUUGUUUCAGCCGUGUGCUGGACUCCUGCAGUUGCGUCCCAUCUGUGUCUGAUUCAUAUUAUCUAGGCUGGAAAUGAAACUUAGCUAUGACUUAGCCAGAGCUGAGUGAGAUCCCAGCACUUGGGAGGCAGAAGCAGGCAGAUCUCUGAGUUUGAGGCCACCCUGUCUAGUCACUUGUCACUCCAGUGAGUUCCAGGAUAUAGUGAGACCCUGUCUUAAAACAAACAAGCAAGCAAACAAACAAACAAACAACCCGCUAGGUGUGGGGAGGCAUUCCUGUAAUCCCAGCACUCAGAAGGCAGAAAAUCAGGAGUUCAGGGUCAUCCUGGGCUACAUAUCAAGUUUGAGGCCAGCCUGGGCCCCAAGAAACCCUGUCACAAAACAGC